UGAGUGCGGCAAGGCGGCCGCGAACGCGGGGGAAACCUCGCGGGCGAGGAAAGUCCGAGCACGGCAGGACACGGUGGUGGGUAACGCCCACCCGCCCGCACACUCAAAGUGGUCCGGGCGAGGGAAAGUGCCACAGAAACUCAAACCGCCUAAGCCUCUUUCGAGAGGCCGGCAAGGGUGAAAAGGUGGGGUAAGAGCCCACCGCCCGCGGCGUGAGUCGCGGGGCAUGGCAAACCCCACCGCGUGCAAGGUCAAGCAGCCCUCAGCCUGGUCCGGGUAGUGGGGGCGGGUAGACUGCUCGAGCGUCGCGGCAACGCCACGCCUAGAGAAAUGGUCGCCAUCGCCGGAAGGCCCGUCAGCCCCCGUCAAAGGAGGCGGGAACCGCCGGCGAAACAGAACUCGGCUUACCGCCGCACCGACCGC
rnacentral:RNase_P_RNA from 1 species